rnacentral:rRNA from 1 species
GAGUUUGAUCCUGGCUCAGGACGAACGCUGGCGGCGUGCCUAACACAUGCAAGUCGGACGGACAUCAGGUGGAAGCUUGCUGAAGCCUGGUGUUAGUGGCGGACGGGUGAGUGACGCGUGAGGACCUAUCCGGACGAGGGGGACAACAGUUGGAAACGGCUGCUAAGACCCCAUAAGCCGAGAGGUGAAAGGGAGCGAUCCGCUUCCGGAGGGGCUCGCGGGCUAUCAGCUGGUUGGUGGGGUAACGGCCUACCAAGGCGAAGACGGCAAGCCGGCCUGAGAGGGCGACCGGCCACACUGGAACUGAGAUACGGUCCAGACUCCUACGGGAGGCAGCAGUGGGGAAUAUUGGGCAAUGGGGGAAACCCUGACCCAGCGACGCCGCGUGGAGGAAGAAGUCCCUCGGGAUGUAAACUCCUGUUGUGCGGGAAGAAGCGAGUGACGGUACCACACGAGGAAGCCCCGGCAAACUACGUGCCAGCAGCCGCGGUAAUACGUAGGGGGCGAGCGUUGUCCGGAAUCACUGGGCGUAAAGGGCACGCAGGCGGACCGACAGGUCGUUUGUGAAAGGCGAGGGCUUAACCCUUGUUUGCGGACGAAACCGUUGGACUGGAGUACCGGAGAGGGAAGUGGAAUUCCCGGUGUAGCGGUGAAAUGCGUAGAUAUCGGGAGGAACACCAGUGGCGAAGGCGGCUUCCUGGCCGGAUACUGACGCUCAAGUGCGAAAGCUGGGGGAGCGAACGGGAUUAGAUACCCCGGUAGUCCCAGCCGUAAACGAUGAAUGCUAGGUGUGGGUGCCGUCGGGCAUCCGUGCCGGAGUUAACGCGAUAAGCAUUUCGCCUGGGGAGUACGAUCGCAAGAUUGAAACUUAAAGGGAUUGACGGAUCUUUCU